rnacentral:lncRNA from 1 species
UUGUCUGGUUUUGGAAUGAAGGUGAUGCUGGCCUCAUAGAAUGAGUUUGGAAGUACUCCGUCUCUUUCUAUCUUUCCCAACAGCUUUAGUCGAAUAGGUAUGGUUUCUUCUUUAAACAUUUGAUAGAAUUCCCCUGGGAAGCCAUCUGGCCCUGGACUUGGGAGGUUUUUGAUGACUGCUUCAAUUUCCUCCAUGGUUAUUGGCCUGUUCAGGUUUUCUAUUUCUUCCAGUUCCAGUUUUGGUAGUUUGUGGCUUUCCAGAAAUGCGUCCAUUUCUUCUAGAUUGCCUAAUUUAUUGGCGUAUAGCUGUUCAUAAUAUGUUUUUAAAAUCGUUUGCAUUUCCUUGAUGUUGGUAGUGAUCUCUCCUUUCUCAUUCAUGAUUUUAUUAAUUUGAGUCUUCUCUCUCUUCUUUUUAAUAAGGCUGGCUAAUGGUUUAUGUAUCUUAUUAUUUCUUUCAAAGAACCAACUCCUGGUUUUGUUGAUCUAUUCCACAGUUCUUCUGGUCUCUAUUUCAUUGAGUUCUGCUCGAAUCUUCAUUAACUCUCUUCUUCUGCUGGGUGUAGGAUCUAUUUGCUGUUUUUUCUCCUUUAGGUGUAAGGUUAGCUUUUGUAUUUGAGUUGUUUCCAGUUUUUGGAGGGAUGCUUGUAUUGUGAUGUAUUUGCCCCUCAGGACUGCUUUUACUCUUUCCCAUAGAUUUUGAAUUGUUGUAUCUUCACUCUCAUUAGUUUCCAUGAAUCUUUUUAAUUCUUCCUUAAUUUUCUGGUUGACCCUUUCAUCUUUUAGCAGGAUGGUCCUUAACCUCCCCCUGUUUGAAAUCCUUCAAAACUUCUUCUUGUGAUUUAGUACUAAUUUCGAGGCAUUAUGGUCUGAGAAUAUGCAGGGGACGAUCCCAAUCUUUUGGUUCGCUUCAGACCCAAUUUGUGACCCAAUAUGUGGUCUAUUCUGGAGAAAGUUCCACGUGCACUUGAGAAGAAUGUGUAUUCAGUUGCGUUUGGAUAUAAAGUUCUCUAAAUAUCUGUGAAAUCCAUCUGGUCAAGUGUAUCAUUUAAAGCUCUUGUUUCUUUGGAGAUGUUGUGCUUAGAAGACCUAUCGUGUGUAGAAAGCGCUAGAUUGAAGUCACCAAGUAUAAGUGUAUUAUUAUGUAAGUAUGUCUUAACUUUGGUUAUUAAUUGAUUGAUAUAUUUGGCAGCUCCCAUAUUCAGGGCAUAUAUAUGGAUGAUUGUUAAUACCCCUUCUUGGAUAGAUCCUUUAAGUAUGAUAUAGUGUCCCUCUUCAUCUCUUACUACAAUAAGAAUCGAAGAAUUUUAAAUACAAUCAUCUCACAUCUAAAAAUAUUUAGCAUGUAAUAAAAGACAUUGUUGAAGAGCAUAUGAAAUUUCUUGCUCAUAUUAUGGAUAAAAAACAAAACAAUGUGUAAACAAUUGUUCUAAUCAUAGUGACUGCAUUGAAAAGAAAAUUGAAAUAGUCCGUGAAGAUUUCACAUAGAGCAUCUACUUUUCAAUUUUUAAAAAUUAAGUUCAAUUUGCUAAUAUAUAGUAUAACAUCCAGUGCUCAUCCCAUCAAGGGCCCUCCUCAGCCCACGUGACACAGUCACCCCACGCCUCCACCUACCUUCUCCUCCACCACCCUUUGUUAAUUUCCCAGAGUUAGGAGUCUCUCAUGUUUUGUCACCCUCUCUAAUUUUUCCACCUAUUACUUUUCAAUUUCUAUACAAUUGUUCCACUUAAUAGAAAAUGAUAAGUAAAAUUUCAUAUCUUUGUAUUUUGACAAUCUAGUCACACUAAAGACACUGAUCAUCACUCAGAAAAUUCCAGUAGCUCAAAUACUUAAAUAGCUCAAGUGUAGUCACAGACAUUUCUCAUAGGACUCAUUACUUAAGGAGUGGUUUCCCAAGGUCUAUUUAUGACAUAUAUGUACAUAUUGGCAGCCGAGAAUUGUAAUAUCAUCCCAUAAUUGGUUAUAUAGACCUUUCUACAAUUUGUUUCCUCUAGCAUAUGCCAGCAUUUUAUUUUUCCACUACCAUAAUACUUUUUUGGGAACAUUUGCUGACCAUGCUGAAUUCCCCUCCACAGUUUUGCUUAGUAUGAUCUAUGGGCUGGAUCUCAGCUCACAGAAGUGAUUUUCAUUAUUCACUCUGUCCAUGUUCCAACAAGAUCCCUUUGUGGAGUCAUCAUUUAUCCCACAACAAAUAUAAAAUGGACCAUCAGAAUGUGAUACCUGGUAGGCAGUGAGCAUUCAGGAUUCUGUUACCGUAGGAGGCACUGAUCCACAUGAAGUUGAUCAUAUAUCUGAAGAUUAGUGACUAAUAGUACAGGGACAUGAAUUGUGAAACGUUGUAUGAGCUAAAUAUAAGAGAUACACGUUCAAUAAAAUCCUCUACCUUCUAUGGAAACAAACAAAAAAGCUCAUAAUGUAUAUAUUGUUCCAACUACAAACUUGAUGUUUUAGACAGACAAUCUCAGGUAUGUUUCAAAAGAAUUAUGCUUGAAAAAAGAAUAUGGCCACAAACCCAUAAGAUUGCAAUGACCAAAAAUGGUAGCACAAGAGCAUUAUCAAGUGAAAGACUAGGCUCAUCGGAACAGGGCAAGAGCCAUUUGAAAGCACGAUUAAUAUGACAAGCAGGGCACAAUAUCUUCCUUUAUAAAAAAGAAAUAUAGAAAAGUACUGGAAAAUUCUAAUGCCAAGAGAUUGAUGAAAACCAAUCUAUAAAAAUAUAUAAUUCCAUUGAAUCAUUCACAAUACAUAAUUGGGGUAGAUCAAUGAUAAGAUAAAAUGAACUUGAAACACACUCAUAUAAAAAUAUUAUAUGAAGCAGAAAUACACAAUGAAAACACAAAAAAAGUCUGAAACACUGAAAUGUGCACUAUUUCUAAUAGACAAUAUCAGGUCUGAGUCAUGAAAGAAAGAAACAUACAUCACAAGUAAUAUAGAGGAUACACAGAAAAAGAAGAGGAAGGAAAAUAGCAAAUAUUAUAACAUAAGUAGCAUAAAAAAACAAAAAUAAAGCAUCCUUUAUCAUAUACUUCUAACAAAGUGGGUAUAGAAGAAAAUAGAGUGAAAAGAUGAAAUUUUUUUGGGGGGGUGAAGAAAUAAGAGGAAAGGAAAGGACCUAUGACUAAAGGCUCUCAGGAAGGCUAACAGGCUCAGGAAAAUACCAGAAACCUGAAGACCACAGAACAUAGCAAAAAAACACAAAGUACAGAGCCAAACCACUGACAAGAUAUGGAGGAAACAAUGUAUGUCCUCUGCAAAGACCACUUCCCUAAGCCAUGCAACACUUGAUACCCUACAGCAGAAAAGGAAAGAAACCUUGGGAGGAAGAUUUCUAAGGCUGACAGGCAGCAAGAACAGUGGAAGACAGUCAGGUGACCUGUGUCCCACUCGCCCUCCACAGGCUGCAGGGUGUGCUGGUGCCCCUGCGCCACCCAUGCUACCCCACCCAGGGCAUCCCCUGGGGGCAGGGACAGGGUAUCCCUGUGCCCAAAUAACAGCUCUGCUUCAGGACCAAUUUCCAGCCCUGUGUACCCUCCUCUAGGCUGUGGGUGACCCUGACCUCAGCAACUGUCCCUCUCUGUAUCUCCCUGGCUGGGAUCUUGAGCUAGACCUCAGCCUCCAUGAGGACAAUAGUAAAGGAUUCCUCAUUCACUAUGUUCAGCUUUCCAAGGAACGCACAUGUGGGAGUCAUCAUGGAUAUGAGCACCUGUGGGGUCUGGCUGGGACAGCCCAUUAGUGCAGACAUGCUCACCCUUGGGAGGACCUAUUGUCCUGCCACAUCAAGGAGAACCUGGGAAGGACGCAUGACCACAGGGACCUCUAGACUUGGGAGACAAUCCAAGGACAUGACUAUGAGCAAGAGGAACAGGAUAUCAUCUUGGGGAGCUAAACCCUACAUGUCAGGAUAACACACCAGUCAGAAGGCCCUCAGGAAAGCACAACAUUUCCUUGCCCAAAGGCUCACUCUAAGACAAAAGAAGUUUACCUUCUUACCGAUCCAUGUGGAAUCUGCCCAACCUGGGCAGCUAACCUGGUGAGGCCAACCUCACUCCACUCCUCCAAGGCUUUCUAUUCUGAGCCGAAAUGAGGCUGGCGAUGACACAACACCUGAAAGUUUGGGAAAAUUGCACUCACAAAUGAUAAACAUACCCAGAGGAUCAGGUGGUGAGAUCAGAAAGAACAGAUCCAUGUGGAAGCCUAGCACCUGCCUGUGCUGGCAGGCACAGGACUGGCUGCACAUGGGUGAAAUGCCACAGGCCCAGGUCAGCCCACACACAGGAAUGUGCCUGUUUCAUGUGUGUCAAGGAAUUUCCAUGAGCAAUGUGCCUGGUAAAUGCCACGUGCUGUGAGUGGGGGUGUGCAUGAGUCUGUGAGUGAGGGGCCCUCUAUGGGUGUGUUUGGGUGUGUGUGCAUGAGUGUUAUCUAUGUGUUUACUAGCAGGUGUGUGCAUGCGGGCGUGUGCAGGACAGGCUGGCAGACUAGCUGGCCGAAGCAGAGGUGCUCACAUGUGGAAGUCAUCACUUAAAAGCGCAUAGCCCGUAUGUGGAACCCUGGCCUCACGCCCUGCCAUGCAAAAGCAUGAGAUGAUGCGUUUGUCCCUGAGGGAGGCUGCAAAGGCCUGAGACACUACAUAUCCAAAGCCCUCUGGCAAUGCACAGCGCACGGAUUCUUCUCUACAAACCCACUUAGGACCACUGAAGUAACGUCGAUGUGGACUAGGUGCCUCGCUAGAUGACCAGGGGCCAGAGAGCUGCCCAAAACCGCAGCAACCACAGGGCAAGGCAAGGAGCCCCCAUGCAGGCCUGGCAGCCCUUGGGCGCUGGCUAGAGGCCCCAGGCCUCCACAAAGCCCUAUUGAGGCAAGGUGACCACAUGAAGACAGGCCUGAGGUGACGCCAUGAGGACAGGCAACCUGUUGUGCCCACUCUACCAUACGGCCCUUGGACUGUGGGUGGA